ACAGGAACCACCCGAACCAGCGCAGGAGGAGCCUCACAAGCAGCAGUUUCAGGGCAGCGGGGGCCCGACCUGAGCUGCCUUUGCUGCCCAAAACUGCCCACACAGCCCCUCUCCUGCCCCGAGGGACUGUGUCCCGUGCCAAGUACCCCACGCUGGACGGAGCAGACACGGACUCCACUCUACCCCACAGGACGGAGCAGACACGGACUCCUCUCCCUGAGCGGGAAGCAGCGCGGCUGCCCGCGGGCUCCUCCUUCCCGCUGAGCCCCGGCGGGUUCGGAACGGGUUUGUGCCUCCGCCUUGGCCGCAAACAUCACAUUCGGUCCCCGGCCUGCGACAAGCCGAUAAUGACACACUCGAGAGACGCAUUGAGUCGUUAUUGUUUCAGAGUUGGCUGCCCGGGGCUGUUUCACAAGUCAAGCACAGCUCACAAAGCUUUUUACUAUUUCUGCAUGUUAGCAAACAAAGCAAAACAAGCUUGCAAGCAGCCACGAGACAUUAAAGCUCGACAGAACA